rnacentral:rRNA from 1 species
GACGAACGCUGGCGGCGUGCUUAACACAUGCAAGUCGAACGGAAAGGCCCUGCUUGUGGGGCGUGCUCGACUGGCGAACGGGUGAGUAACACGUGAGUAACCUUCCCCUGUCUUUGGGAUGACGUCAGGAAACUGGGGCUAAUACCGGAUAUGAGCUCCGGCUGCAUGGUGGGGGUUGGAAAGUUGCGGCGGUUGGGGAUGGACUCGCGGCUUAUCAGCUUGUUGGUGGGGUAGUGGCUUACCAAGGCUUUGACGGGUAGCCGGCCUGAGAGGGUGACCGGCCACAUUGGGACUGAGAUACGGCCCAGACUCCUACGGGAGGCAGCAGUGGGGAAUAUUGCACAAUGGGCGGAAGCCUGAUGCAGCAACGCCGCGUGCGGGAUGACGGCCUUCGGGUUGUAAACCGCUUUCGCCUGUGACGAAGCGUGAGUGACGGUAAUGGGUAAAGAAGCACCGGCUAACUACGUG